rnacentral:rRNA from 1 species
GCCCGGCUGGCUGGCUGUUUGCGGCCGGCAACGGGUGGGCCGGAGAGGCCGCUUUGCUGCGAGCGUGGUGUGGAGCUAGCUGCGAGCCCGGCGCUGGCGUCGGAGUUGCCUUCCGACAUUCGAGGGUUGCUCUGUGUCUCCGGUGCGGCCCAGUGGAUGGGGUGGCAGGAAGACCCGGGCUCCGCUAGGAGCGACUGCUCAGGCCCGCCUUUCACGCGUCCGCCGUGGCGGUGAGAGGGUGGCGGCUGCGAGGGGACUGGCGUCGGCCCCUCUGAGCGGCCUCGCCCGCAGCGCCGUGGGUCCCACUUCUGUGCGGACGACUCAGGGUGAGCCUGUGCCGAGCGGCGGCACGCG